AACGGUCUAUACCUGCGGUACCUGCGGAAGGAUCACUGUUUGAGUGGGUGGAGUGGGUGGAGUGGGGGGAUUGGUGGAAUGGAUCGGUGGAUUCGUUUCAUCUCAUCUCUCCCUCAUUACCAUUAACACGCUUGAUUGUUUGACUGUAACCUAUAAUCACCUAUACAACUUUCAACAAUGGAUCUCU
rnacentral:misc_RNA from 1 species